rnacentral:rRNA from 1 species
UAGGGAAUAUUGCAAAAUGGGCGAAAGCCCGAUGCAGCAACGCCGCGUGGGCGAUGAAGGCCUUCGGGUCGUAAAGCCCUUUUUGAGGGGAUGAGGAAGGACAGUACCCUCAGAAUAAGCCUCGGCUAACUACGUGCCAGCAGCCGCGGUAACACGUAGGAGGCGAGCGUUAUCCGGAUUUACUGGGCGUAAAGCGCGUGCAGGCGGAUUGGAGAGUUGGAUGUGAAAGCUCCCGGCUUAACUGGGAGAGGUCGUUCAAUACUUCCAGUCUCGAGUGCAGUAGAGGUAAGUGGAAUUCCGGGUGUAGUGGUGAAAUGCGUAGAUAUCCGGAGGAACACCAGUGGCGAAAGCGGCUUCCUGGACUGUAACUGACGCUCAGACGCGAAAGCUAGGGUAGCAAACG